GGGGCCGCCCUGGUUUCGACGGGGGUGAUGAGGCCAAAGUUGCAGGCCGAGGGGCUGGGAGGUCCUCGUUAAAACCCAGCACGAACAUAAUUGCCAACGACAAUUAUGACUACGCAAUGGCUGCCUAAUUAGGCCAGCAUUGCUUGGCGGCAUAGACCGCCACAUCCGUGCGGUGGAUGUCUGAUAAGCCGUAUCCGGGUGUCAAACCCCAUCAGGCUGGCGAGAGGCCGCUGUCUGGACAGCCAAUCGCGAGACUUUAUCCGGGCUGGUUUGCGGGACGCCCGAUCAGGGGCAAGCCCGCGAGCAAGAUGUAAAACCUGAUCUAAGCCUGUAGAUGCUUUGCGCGGAGCAUUCUCGGACGGGAGUUCGAUUCUCCCCGGCUCCACCA
rnacentral:tmRNA from 1 species